rnacentral:lncRNA from 1 species
UUUAUUCUAAAUAACAUUCUUAAAUCUGCCCAUUAAGAGCACAGUAAACAUUUAACAGUUUUUGUUUUAUUAAUGAAAUUAGAUUUUUACAUACAAAAUCAGCUAAGUAAUUUUAUUUACAAAAAUAAUAAAAAACUGCUUAUUCACUGUGGAAAAAUAACCAUUUUGAUAAAAAGAAUUUAAUGAAAGUUUAAUGCAACAAAGUAAGAAUGGCUUUUUGUUUCAUUGUCUGAUACUUUGACUUAAAUGUGGAUUACUUGGUAUCUCUUGAAACCUAAGUAAUAAGAUCUUUAAACAAGCACUGAAUAAAAAAUUAGGUUGGGUGUAUUCUGGAACCUGAAUCAACACGACUAAGUGGAGUUUGUGGUCACAGAGGAUUUGUCAUUUUUCUUCUUUGCCCUUAUGAAAAUACAUUAAUAGAAAAUUACCAAUGGAAAAUAUUUUAAAAUUUGUUAUAUUCCUAUCAACUUUGACAUUGCUUAGCAAAUUUAUUAAUUUCUUUCAAUCAAUGUUAAUACUUUGUCUAGAAUUAGGGUAGAGGUAGACUGAUCUUUGUAUUCAAACAUUUUAAAACAUUGUUUUAAAUGCCAUAUAAGG